rnacentral:rRNA from 1 species
GAACUGAAGAGUUUGAUCAUGGCUCAGAUUGAACGCUGGCGGCAGGCCUAACACAUGCAAGUCGAGCGGAUGAAGGGAGCUUGCUCCUGGAUU